rnacentral:ncRNA from 1 species
ACCCGUCGCAUAUGCGGACUUUCAUAUGCACCUCCCUGUUGGACUGACUCCGGUGCGAUCCGGGGUCUUUUUU